rnacentral:misc_RNA from 1 species
GUGCCUCAGAAUUUAACAUAGAUAAGACUCAUAGCCAGAACCACGGCAGAAUUCAAGUUCUAGUGGAUCAUUACAUCCAAUUUACCCAGGAAAUUUCUAAUAGUGUGAACAAGAAACAAAUUUUAUUGUAUUCCAAUACAUUAACUGGAACCCUUCCUACAUCAACUGCUCCGAUUUGAAAUCUUGGUGAAACGAAAAACAAAACCAGUAUCUUACUAACAUGACAGAUUGCACAUAUUAACAGAAUCACAUAAGUUGAAUACACUCCAAAUUCCUAUAUAUCCAAAUGCUCACAUGGAAGCCUUGGAUGAUCCUUGAUGCCACUUAAUAGCUAUGGGACUCCUAACUCUGUGAGUUCCGUCGCUCCACUCAAUUGAUCCAAAACUUUGUGAGCUAAUGCUAGACCAACCCAAACCAGCGCUAGAGAAUGUAAUAUCAUAGGACAAUAUCUGAUUUUCUGCAUUGAACUCGAGCUUACUUGGUGAAACCUUGACCUCUGUAUUUGCAGGAGCAUUCACCUUGACCUCAUAAAUUGCAUUAACAGAACUUCCAACAUUCUUCACUACCCUCUUAUGUGUAACCACAUUGGUGUUAGGCUCAAAAACAACAGAGAAUGAUGGGUAGUUGAGAUUGCCCGGGCUACCCAAUUUUCGAUCACAUACAUCCAAAGUUGCAGUUCCACCAACAAAAACUGCAAUUCUCUUGGAAUCAUACCCAAUUGUGCAAAGAAAUGCAAUAUAGUCACUGGUGUCCAUGUCAUAUACCAGUCCAGGAUCAAGGGCUCUAUUGGGAUCCACAUGACCAGCUCCAUUAACAAAGGGUGUUGAUUCCCUGCCAGUAGCAAGAUCAAUAAUGCUUUUGCCAGAAUUAUCCAAGUUAUAAGCAGUAGUCACUAGAGCAGAUUUUAUAGCAGCAGGUGAC